AACUCUUAGCGGUGGAUCACUCGGCUCGCUCGUGCGUCGAUGAAGAACGCAGCUAGCUGCGAGAACUAAUGUGAAUUGCAGGACACAUUGAUCAUCGACCUUUCGAACGCACCUUGCGGCCCGGGUUCCUCCGGGGCUACGCCUGUCUGAGAGUCG
ensembl:rRNA 5_8S_rRNA 5.8S ribosomal RNA